CAGACAGUGUUGAAUGGGAAAAGUACUUGUCCAGCCUGACAUUCCAGAGAACCUGCCGCAUGGUGCGAGGCAGGAUGUACAGCGGAAAAGGAAAAUCACCCAGGAGCUGCCCGCUGAAAGGAUGCAAGUAAGUGGGGCCGGCUGACAGCCGUUAUCCUGUCCGGCAUUGGAAGGAAAAUCCGGAGAUGCUUGAACAAAGGGGUCGCACAGGCGACAACAAGAGUGGUACCGCAGAGCACAGCGCUUUGUCUCUUAG
rnacentral:ncRNA from 1 species